rnacentral:rRNA from 1 species
GACGAACGCUGGCGGCGUGCCUAAUACAUGCAAGUAGAACGCUGAAGGAGGAGCUUGCUUCUCUGGAUGAGUUGCGAACGGGUGAGUAACGCGUAGGUAACCUGCCUGGUAGCGGGGGAUAACUAUUGGAAACGAUAGCUAAUACCGCAUAAUAGUAGAUGUUGCAUGACAUUUGCUUAAAAGGUGCAAUUGCAUCACUACCAGAUGGACCUGCGUUGUAUUAGCUAGUUGGUGAGGUAACGGCUCACCAAGGCAACGAUACAUAGCCGACCUGAGAGGGGGAUCGGCCACCAUGGGACCGGGACACGGCCCAGAAUCCUACGGGAGGCAGCCGUAGGGAAUCUUCGGCAAUGGACGGAAGUCUGACCGAGCAACGCCGCGUGAGUGAAGAAGGUUUUCGGAACGUAAAGCUCUGUUGUAAGAGAAGAAAGAGUGUGGGAGUGGAAAGUUCACACUGUGACGGUAUCUUACCAGAAAGCGACGGCUAACUACGUG